UACGGAGGGUGCGAGCGUUGUUCGGAAUCAUUGGGCGUAAAGAGCGUGUAGGCGGCCCGGUAAGUCCGCUGUAAAAGUCAAAGGCUCAACCUUUGAAUGUCAGUGGAUACUGCCGGGCUAGAGUCCGGAAGAGGCGAGUGGAACUCCUGGUGUAGCGGUGGAAUGCGCAGAUAUCAGGAAGAACACCAACGGCGAAGGCAGCUCGCUGGGACGGUACUGACGCUGAGACGCGAAAGCGUGGGGAGCGAACAGG
rnacentral:rRNA from 1 species